CUUUGUCAAAUAAGGGGAGGCAACUCAAAUGCAAGGGCAGAUAAUUCAGAUAGUGUUACUUUUACAAUAGAAUGUGUUAGGAAUUUACCCAUUUUUACAUGUAGCAAGAAAACGAGUCCGGUGACCCCAUUUUUUCUUUUUCUUAUCUGAAAGCAUAAUAUUGAAGCUAUCUUGUCAUAUUUUAUCUCAAAAUUCUAUGGUGUGGUUUGCAUUUUAUGGCGGAAAAAUGGGUUUUCCAUGCAUAAUCUAUACAAAACUUGACAAUUUUGAACAACCUGUAGCGUGAAAAUAAGUCCGGUGACCCAUUCUUUUUAUUAAUGUUUUUAAACAAGCAGGAUAUGAACUACAUUUUGGCAAAUUAUUAAAAGAUUCUAUGGAUUAUAAUUUAGACACCC
rnacentral:lncRNA from 1 species